AGCUCUAUGUAUCUUCACAGAGAUUUUGUCAGACGCUAACCUAUGAGGGUUGAUGAGACUCCCAAGAUACAUGAAGCA
rnacentral:pre_miRNA from 1 species